rnacentral:lncRNA from 1 species
GGCAGCGCUGUUGCACCACUUUAUAUUUUAUUGUGUAUAAAAACCCCACAGGCCCCGCCGCUGCAGCUCCCCGCCGAAAACUACAUUUCCCAGCGUGCCCCGCGCCGCGCCCCUCUCCCCCCUCCCAUCGGCGGCCCGCGCGCAUGCGCACUGGGGAGGCGGUGGCGACGUGGAAGGCCGGGAGCGGCGGCGGUGCGUGCGCGCAUGCGCGAGGGGGGGCGCGACCGUUAGGGGCCGUGAGGGGACCCUGAGGGGACCCUGAGGGGGCGGCGGGGGCCGCGCUCGUUCCCUUCGCGUGCUCGGUUUCGCCCCCCGGCGCCGCUGUUUUUGCUGCUUUUUUUUUUUUUUUGUCUCCGGGUGCGUUCUGUGCUGGCUUCCUGAGCCCCGAAUCUCCCCAGGUGUGUUGAGGUGCGGGGCGGAGCGGGCUGCCGGGCACCCAAAUCCGCCUCCUGCCGUCGCCGGCGCUGAGGUGAUUCUGGCUACUUUGGCUGAAAGGAAAACAAUGUCCAUUUGGAUUAGUUGAGAAAGCAGCAAAUGGUAAAGAAAUGAAGAUUUAGAAGG